CUCAGAGAGAGAAGGACUUCCGUCACCACUGUCAAAAGGCUCAUUGUGAAAGAUUCCCUGGCCUUGGCUGUCAGCAAAGGUUUUCCACAUCUCGAGGAAGCAGACUGAUCAGGAGUAAAAGGAAUGAGCAUUAAGACUAUGAUAUGAAAUAUAUGUGUAUCCUCCAACCUGCAGAGAAGCUGUGCUGUGCUGAAUAUAUAACAUCAUACAGAGUGCGCUACAGGUUCAGUGUCACCAAUGACGUUAACAGCACUCUAGAGUCUGUAAGAUUUAGAGCAUCUUCUCAACUCCUUAACCGACUACCAGCUAGUGGCUCAGGCCACAGGGCGAUAAAGAAAAAAUCACUUUGGUGUGAUCCUUGAAAGGUAUUUUAAGUGCCUACAGAAAAAUGAAUUAUAUCCCAAGCAUUUUUGCAUCCACAACAGAUGGAAUAAAGCCUGAUCAAAAGUAGAUCCCCAAGAAACAAUUUUACCAACAAAAUGGGUAAAAUACAGAAACUUGCCAUUAAAAAUUAACAUCAAGAUAAAUUAUUUUUCAAUUUGCUUCCCAGCAACAAUUUAGUGAGAUAGUCAUGUAGUUUAUACAACCUAAAUUUAAAUAGAGUUUAUUUAUUUUUUUUUGCUCACAAGAUUGAAAACUUGAAAUUACUUAAGCUAUUUAAUUUAUCGAAACCGUUCCGAAGAAAAAGGUAAAAUUAGCUGCUUCCCUAAGGGUUAGUGAUUAUAUUUCGACUUCAAAGUGGUUUCUGCUGAGAUUCAUUAAAUUAAAGGCCAACUUUAGUAACUCAUUGGUACAUUUGUUCCCUCUCUUAAGCUCAUGUCUUUUGCAGUAUUUUUAAUUUUAAAGAGAGAAAACAAUGAAAGGA
rnacentral:lncRNA from 1 species